rnacentral:rRNA from 1 species
GACGAACGCUGGCGGCGUGCUUAACACAUGCAAGUGGAGCGACGAACCAGGGCUUGCCCUGGGGCAAAGCCGCGAACGGGUGAGUAACACGUGGGUAACCUGCCUCGAUGAUCGGGACAACCCGGGGAAACCCGAGCUAAUACCGAAUGUGCCCCGCCCACAUCAGUGGGCGGUGUAAUGGAAGCUUCGGCCUCCGCAUCGAGAUGGGCCCGCGGCCCAUUAGCUUGUUGGUGGGGUAAAGGCCUACCAAGGCUCCGAUGGGUAGCUGGUCUGAGAGGACGAUCAGCACACUGGGACUGAGACACGGCCCAGACUCCUACGGGAGGCACCGCAGUGGGGAAUCUUGCGCAAUGCGCGAAAGCGUGACGCAGCAACGCCGCGUGGGGGAAGACGGCCUUAGGGUUGUAAACCCCUUUCAGGAGGGACGAAGGUCGGCGCGUUAAUAGCGUGUCCGACUGACGGUACCUCCACAAGAAGCCCCGGCUAACUACGUGCCAGCAGCCGCGGUAAUACGUAGGGGGCAA